GUCCUAGCCGUAAACGUUGGGUGCUAGGUGUGGGCGGACAUCGACCCCGUCCGUGCCGAAGCUAACGCAUUAAGCACCCCGCCUGGGGAGUACGGCCGCAAGGCUAAAACUCAAAGGAAUUGACGGGGGCCCGCACAAGCGGCGGAGCAUGCGGCUUAAUUCGAUGCGACGCGAAGAACCUUACCUGGGCUUGACAUGCAGGGUGAAACCGUGGAAACACGGUGCUCUACGGAGCCUGCACAGGUGGUGCAUGGCUGUCGU
rnacentral:rRNA from 1 species